CUAAGGUGUGGUUUCUGGCUGUUCAGAAUGUUUACCCGCAACAGGUCAUUGUUUGUCUCUGUUCAAACAAUAUGUAGGGAAAGGUAACAAUCCCCAUCUGGAGAUAAUUUUUUAGAAGGUUCCACAAACUUUCGAUCCCGUUCUCAUCAACUUGCCAUGCAUGACUGUCAGAGAUGUUUGCUCGGACAGUUGAACA